GGCCCUCUGGCAUAGUGGUUUGAUCGUUGGACUAUGAUUCUGGAGACUAGGGUUCGAUUUCCAGCUUUGCCA